UACGUAGGGUGCGAGCGUUGUCCGGAAUUAUUGGGCGUAAAGAGCUCGUAGGCGGUCUGUCGCGUCUGCUGUGAAAUCCCGAGGCUCAACCUCGGGCUUGCAGUGGGUACGGGCAGACUAGAGUGCGGUAGGGGUGACUGGAAUUCCUGGGUGUAGCGGUGGAAUGCGCAGAUAUCAGGAGGAACACCGAUGGCGAAGGCAGGUCACUGGGCCGCAACUGACGCUGGAGGAAGCGGAAAGCAUGGGGAGCGAACAGG
rnacentral:rRNA from 1 species